rnacentral:lncRNA from 1 species
AUCUCGGCUCCUGCUUAUGGAUGGCUUUUCAACGUCAAAGAAAGACUGAAGGAAACUCAUUUCAGGCUACCCCCAAGUCAUAACACAGAACUCCAGGUAAAAACACACCUGAAAGUGUUAUCUCGAGAGAAUGCUGUGGAUGCAGGAGGUUGCUGGGCAGCACAAGCAGCUUCCGGGGAUCUAACUGCUCUGCCAGCACCACACGGAAACAGGGCCUCUGGCAACACCACAAGGACACAGGACCUCUGGCAACCCACCCGGAACCACAGACGCCCUGGUACCAGGUAGCCCUGGCCACCAGCACCUCAAGGAAACAG